AUACGGAGGGUGCAAGCGUUAUUCGGAAUCACUGGGCGUAAAGGACGCGUAGGCGGGUUUGUAAGUCAGGUGUGAAAUCCUACAGCUCAACGGUAGAACUGCACUUGAAACUACAGACCUAGAGUAUGGAAGGGGCAGAUGGAAUUAGUGGUGUAGGGGUAAAAUCCGUAGAUAUCACUAGGAAUACCGAAAGCGAAGGCGAUCUGCUGGGACAUUACUGACGCUGAGGCGUGAAAGCCUGGGGAGCAAACAGGAUUAGAAACCCCAGUAGUCC
rnacentral:rRNA from 1 species